CUUUUUCAAAAUGCCGGCGGUGGCAGGGAAGGUUGUCUGGUCCAGAGGCUUCCCUAGAGUGACGAGCUCUACUAUGUAUGCUUUAUGCGGCAGACGGAGUGCUUUGGAGGAGUUUUUAAAUUUCUGGUUUUUUUUUGAAUCUUAUCCCAUCAGUUUUAAUUGUAGCAAUGAUUCAAGAAACGUUAGUAGGUGCCUGUAACUUUGGUGGUGGAGAUCCAAAAGUGAACAAGACAGUGUUCUGACUGCUAAGUUCUUCUUAACUGGUUAUGCCUGGAGACCUUCACUUGGUUCUAUGCCAGCACUGCCCAUGAACUUCAUAGACGGUGAUCUUUGCUAAGGCCUAAAUGAAUGAAGUGUACACUUCUUUGGUUCACUGGAACUGAACAACAGCUGAAUGUUUAACCUUGAUUGCAGGUGCGGGACUGGAAGCAGAAGACAAAGUGGAGACCAAAUGUUUGAAGCUGAGUGAAGGCAGGGAUGAAGCAGGAACCGAGGAACAAACCUUGGAACUAGCCACUUGAUUGCCAAGCCCCAUAGAAGACAGAUAAUUUACAAGAAAUUCAUAGAGACUCAAAAUGUAAGGUUCUUUGAAAGAAAUUGAGGUGUAGUUCUUAGGUUAAGGGAAAUGAUUAACUUGAUUUAUCUGUGAAGGUUUUUUUCUCAGUGUGGAGGAAAAUAGAUAAUGUGCAUUGCCAAGUGAUUUGCAAGACAUUGAUUGACUUAGUAAGCAUUUAUUGAAUAUCUACUUUGUUUAAAGCAUUGUGUUGGGCACUCUUGGAAAAAUUAGAUACAGUUCUUAAACAGAAGGAAGAAAAGAAAUCCAUGUUUUUGGAAAGGCUGUGACUCAUUUAAGCUCCAUAACAUCAAGGAAGAUGAGAAUUACAAUGUUAUUAUAUGUAAUUUUUGGUAUUAAUGGGAUUGAACUUAUGAAAUAAUACACGGUGAGUGAUAAAGGUUCAAAUCCAGGUUGGAUUAGCUCAAACAUGUACUUUCUUCUCAGUACUCCAUAUUGCUUUUCUUAUUUAAAUGGCUUCAUAAUUUCUUUACAAUAUUUUCAUAAAUUGGGAUUUAAAAUGUAUUCUGGUA